AACUCCACUCAUUUUCUUUUAUUCCUCCUUCCAAAAUCAUACCUAAUCAUACAUCUCAUCUUCUUUGACGAUGUCAGAUCUUCUAUGCCAUCGCGAUUUCUCCAUCACUACGGAUUCUUCAUCAUGAAGCUACGACACUUAAUUUUGAAGGAUCUGGAUGGGUAGAAAGCUCAAGACUUUGGCUGCACUUAAAGAGGAGGGGACUGUUUUAAUGGAGGGAGGAACAAUAUGAUUUGAAAAGGUCCGGUAACUCAGAGACAUUUCCGGUGUACCGAGCACUGGCAGAAGGUUAUUAAGAUAUCGGAGGUUUCAUGGUGGAUGGUUUGGGCGAAGGCGACAAAGACGUUUUUUGGCACCAGGGUUACAAGGAAAACAUAGAAGCUGCUCUUCAUGUAUUUGAAGGAAUUGAUAUGUGUAUAUGAAAAGGGAAAGGACAGUGAUAUGAUAUUGAUUUAUACUUGAAUUGUGUUUUACUGCUGUGGUUUGAAGAUUAAUUUUGAGAUCAAGUUGUUUUAGUUUCAUUGGUUCACGCUAUUACAUAAUCGAUUAUCCAGUAGGAUAUUGCUCUUUGAUUACCUCAACUUCUAAUUGGUUUGGCAAUGGAACUAUCUCCUUGUUUCUCCGUUCAUUCAUGACUCAUCUAAAGUUAGAUAAUUCAAUGAUAAAGAUGAUUGAAACUAAUGAUGCUGGAUAGCUUAAGGAAUCAAGUGGGAGAGUUUGGAGACGGGAUCUAUAUCAGGUGUUUUUCCAAAUUAUUAAUUAUAUGUUUAAACUUCAAAGUAAUUGGAGAAUUAAGUUUGAGCUCAUUUAGGUAAUUUUCGUCAACUAUGCUGGCUUGUUCUGCACUAUUCCAAAAGAUAAGUUGUGGCGUUUCAAAUAUGAUAUACACGAUACGAUAUCACUUGCUCACAGGUUUUUUAACUUUUUUUUUUCAAGCUUUAGUUGCUAAGUUGCACAGGCUUACAGCUACCAAUGGUUACUUCUGAUUCAAAAACCUGGUGGACUUGGUGUACGAGAAGAAGAUUUAGCAGUGAGCAUUUGAUUGAGCAGUAACAGAUGCAGAGUUUCUUCUCCCUGAAAUCUUUGCUUUAGAAGACAUGAAGCAUGCCAAGUCUGAAGAUGGAAAAAUGCUUAGCAAGCCUUUUUUAGACGUCUGCAAAUAGAUAUUAUUCUACCAUCUUGUAAGAACGUUUUGUAAGAGAAAGCCUAAUUAGUUGUUUGGAACCUUAAAAGGGUGAGGUUUUACAUAAGGUGCAUUUUCAGUUGAAA